AUGAGGCGUUUUAUUGAGUUACUCAGAGGACUUAAUCCAUUGGAGCAUGAGAGAGACAGCGCUCUGCAUGUACAGCCAGCUCGAAGAUCCCUACGGCGACCGCCGCACAGCAGGGAGGAACAGGUGGCAGAUCAGCGCUGGCGAGCCGAAGCGUCCGAAGGCAAUGCACAGAUUGUAUCACUGUGGUGGACUUUCGGUGGAGGAACUAAACUGGUGCUCGCUGGUCCCACAGUGAAGCCCUCAGUGUCUCUGCUGCCGCCCUCUUCUCUGCAGAUCUCUGGAGACUCAGCCGCACUGCUCUGCCUGCUCAGCUCUUACUCUCCACAGGGGGCGCUGGUGAGCUGGACACUGGACGGCUCAGAGGUCACCGAGGGGGUUGUGACCAGCGCAGAGAGCGAGCAGGACGGCCGCUACAGCCGCAGUAGUGUCCUGACCCUCAGCAAAGCACGCUGGGAAGCGGGAGAGCAGUACGUCUGCAGAGUAACACAUGAUGGAGCUCCUCAUGAGGCCUCGUUCCACAAGAGUCGCUGUUAGUCGCUCGCAGUGCUGAUGUUUCUCCAGUGAGCGCUGCUCUCUCCUGAAGAUGAGCGUAUCUGAGUGUCCUGUGUCAGGCAGGAUUCACAUGAGUCUAGUGCUGCAGCUGUAGUCAUUUACAACUCAAUACUGAAAGAGAGCUCUAGUGUCAAAGCACUGGCUGAUCUUUCAAUCUGCUGUGUUUGCUGCAACAUUCAAUAAAGCUUCUCAACAAAC